AGAGUUUGAUCCUGGCUCAGGAUGAACGCUGGCGGCGUGCCUAAUACAUGCAAGUCGAGCGAAUGAUGAGGAGCUUGCUCCUCUGAUUUAGCGGCGGACGGGUGAGUAACACGUGGGUAAUCUGCCUGUAAGACGGGGAUAACUCCGGGAAACCGGGGCUAAUACCGGAUAAUAAGAGAAGAAGCAUUUCUUCUUUUUGAAAGUCGGUUUCGGCUGACACUUACAGAUGAGCCCGCGGCGCAUUAGCUAGUUGGUGAGGUAACGGCUCACCAAGGCGACGAUGCGUAGCCGACCUGAGAGGGUGAUCGGCCACACUGGGACUGAGACACGGCCCAGACUCCUACGGGAGGCAGCAGUAGGGAAUCUUCGGCAAUGGGCGAAAGCCUGACCGAGCAACGCCGCGUGAGCGAUGAAGGCCUUCGGGUCGUAAAGCUCUGUUGUUAGAGAAGAACAAGUACGAGAGAACUGCUCG
rnacentral:rRNA from 1 species